ACUCAAAUGAAUUGACGGGGACCCGCACAAGCGGUGGAGUAUGUGGUUUAAUUCGACGCAACGCGAAAAACCUUACCUAGGCUCGAACGACUAGGAGUAGCUCCGAUGAAAGUUGGAGUGACCUGUAAAGUCAGGAACUAGCCGAGGUGCUGCAUGGUUGUCGUCAGCUCGUGUCGUGAGAUGUUGGGUUAAGUCCCGCAACGAGCGCAACCCUCAUUCUGUGUUGCUAACCCGCAAGGGUGCACUCUCAGGAAACUGCCCACGAUGAGUGGGAGGAAGGUGAGGACGACGUCAAAUCACCAUGGCCCUUAUGUCUAGGGCUACACACGUACUACAAUGGCCAUUACAGAGGGUCGCAAUACCGCAAGGUGGAGCUAAUCCUUAAAAAUGGCCUCAGUUCAGAUUGUGGGCUGAAAUUCGUCCACAUGAAGGAGGAAUCGCUAGUAAUCGCGGAUCAGAAGGCCGCGGUGAAUACGUUCCCGGGUCUUGUACACACCGCCCGU
rnacentral:rRNA from 1 species